rnacentral:rRNA from 1 species
CCUACGGGUGGCUGCAGUGGGGAAUUUUGGACAAUGGGGGCAACCCUGAUCCAGCCAUGCCGCGUGAGUGAAGAAGGCCUUCGGGUUGUAAAGCUCUUUCGGCCGGAACGAAAUCGCAUCCUCUAAUACGGGGUGUGGAUGACGGUACCGGAAGAAGAAGCACCGGCUAACUACGUGCCAGCAGCCGCGGUAAUACGUAGGGUGCGAGCGUUAAUCGGAAUUACUGGGCGUAAAGCGUGCGCAGGCGGUUCGCUAAGACAGGUGUGAAAUCCCCG